UUCCCAGGUGACCCCGGUCUUUGUCAACCAGCAGAACGGCCCUCAGGUCCAAACUCAGGCCAUCUCUCUGGACCUGCUGAAGGCUAAUGGCACCCCCACGCUUGUUACCGACAGCAACGGAAACCACUACCUGAUCGCUCUGACCAACCACAGUGCAGAGGGGCAGAACGGAGGGUCCUCAUUGGCCAAACCCAACAGUCGCAUCACACUGCAGAGGUUACAGUCGACUCCGACUAAACUGCCCAGCACUGACAGCCAAUCAAAAGAGCCGCCAGAGGCCGAGCCAA